rnacentral:misc_RNA from 1 species
GAUGAAGAACGCAUCGAAAUGCGAUAAGUAAUGUGAAUUGCAGAAUUCAGUGAAUCAUCGAAUCUUUGAACGCACAUUGCGCCCGCCAGUAUUCUCGCGGGCAUGCCUGUUCGAGCGUCAUUUCAACCCUCAAGCCCCCGGGCUUGGUGUUGGGGAUCGGCGUGCCCUCGCGGCGCGCCGUCCCCUAAAUCUAGUGGCGGUCUCGCUGUAGCUUCCUCUGCGUAGUAGCAACACUCGCACUGGAUCGCAGCGCGGCCACGCCGUUAAACCCCCCACUUCUGAAAGUUUGACCUCGGAUCAGGUAGGAAUACCCGCUGAACUUAAGCAUAUCAAUAAGCGGAGGA